rfam:Ovis aries breed Texel chromosome 6, whole genome shotgun sequence.
UCCCUGGUGGCUCAGACAGUAAAGCAUCUGCCUGCAAUGCGGGAGACCUGGGUUCGAUUCCUGGGUCGGGAA